UACGUAGGGUGCAAGCGUUGUCCGGAAUUAUUGGGCGUAAAGAGCUCGUAGGCGGUCUGUCGCGUCGGCUGUGAAAACCCGAGGCUCAACCUCGGGCCUGCAGUCGAUACGGGCAAACUAGAGUACUGCAGGGGAGACUGGAAUUCCUAGUGUAGCGGUGAAAUGCGCAGAUAUCAGGAGGAACACCGGUGGCGAAGGCGGGUCUCUGGGCAGUAACUGACGCUGAGGAGCGAAAGCCAGGGGAGCAAACGGG
rnacentral:rRNA from 1 species